UACGUAGGGGGCUAGCGUUGUCCGGAUUUAUUGGGCGUAAAGAGCGUGUAGGCGGCCAGGUAGGUCUGGUGUGAAAACUCGAGGCUUAACCCCGGGCCUGCAGUGGGUACGGGCAGACUAGAGUGCGGUAGGGGAGACUGGAAUUCCUGGUGUAGCGGUGAAAUGCGCAGAUAUCAGGAGGAACACCGGUGGCGAAGGCGGGUCUCUGGGCCGAUACUGACGCUGAGGAGCGAAAGCGUGGGGAGCGAACAGG
rnacentral:rRNA from 1 species